AGUAACACGUCGUUAAGCUAACCUUUUCUCUGGGAUAAUCUCGGGAAACUGAGUGUAAACCCGGAUAGGGGAUUGGUGCUGGAAUGCUCUUUCCCUGAAAAGCAAUGGAAAAGGAUGCGACGGCGGCCGAUUAGGUUGUUGGUGGGGUAAAGGCCCACCAAGCCCAUGAUCGGUAGGGGCCUUGAGAGAGGUAGCCCCGAGAAGGGCACUGAGACACUGGCCCUAGCCCUACGGGGUGCAGCAGGCGCGAAAUCUCUACACUACGCGAAAGCGUGAUAGGGGAAUCCUAAGUGCUUAUGCUUUGCAUAGGCUUUUGCCAAGGGUAAAUACCUUGGAGAAUAAGUGGUGGGCAAGACCGGUGCCAGCCGCCGCGGUAACCCCGGCGCCACAAGUGGUGAUCGUGAUUAUUGGGUCUAAAGCGUUCGUAGCCGGCCCAAGCAAUCUCUUGUGAAAUCGUCAGGCUUAACCUGACGGCGUGCAGGAGACACUGCCGGGCUAGGGACUGGGAAGAGUCAGAGGUAUGGCCAGGGGAGCAGUAAAAUGCGAUAAUCCUGGUUAGACCACCAAUGGCGAAGGCAUCUGACCAGAACAGAUCCGACGGUGAGGGACGAAAGCUGGGGGAGCGAUCCGGAUUAGAUACCCGAGUAGUCCCAGCUGUAAACGCUGCGAGCCAGGUGUUGCACAUUCCUAGUGAAUGUGCAGUAUCGGAACGAAGGUGUUAAGCUUGCCACCUGGGGAGUACGGUCGCAAG
rnacentral:rRNA from 1 species